AUUUAACAAGAUGCUUUUUUA
ensembl:piRNA 21ur-11960 ncRNA